GAGUAAUAAGAUUAUGGCAAGAUGAACUGAAGGAAAGUGCGCAAAAAUAGCUUUCGCCAAAUCGCGGCUGUGUAAAAUCAUCUGUGAGAUUGUCAUCGACUGCCACAGAAAUACCAAUGAAUCCAGAAUCAUGGUGACAUGGCGAAGUAUCUGAAGUGCGCCCCGGAACGUCUGGGUGGUGGGGGUCGAAGAAAGAGAUAGUAAACAAACGAAUUAAUUGGAAGAAAUUUUUUUUAAAUAAUUAAAGGAAUUAUGACUGAACAAA